rnacentral:rRNA from 1 species
UACGGAGGGGCUAGCGUUGUUCGGAAUUACUGGGCGUAAAGCGCGCGUAGGCGGACCUGCAAGUCGGGGUGAAAGCCCGAGGCUCAACCUCGGAACUGCCUUCGAUACUGCGGGUCUCGAGUCCGGGAGAGGUGAGUGGAAUUCCUAGUGUAGAGGUGAAAUUCGUAGAUAUUAGGAAGAACACCAGUGGCGAAGGCGGCUCACUGGCCCGGUACUGACGCUGAGGCGCGAAAGCGUGGGGAGCAAACAGG